GGGUCAGUAGGUUGGUCGUGCCACCGGUACGUACUGGUCUCACUGAUUCCUCCUUCCUGAAGAACCGUAAUGCCAUUAAUUUGGUGUUGCGGGGAAACAGGACUGUUACUUUGAAAAAAUGAGAGUGUAUAAAGCAAGCUAACGCUUGAAUACAUUAGCAUGGAAUAAUGAAAUAGGACGAUCGAUCCUAUUUUGUUGGUUUCUAGGAUUGACGUA
rnacentral:rRNA from 1 species